rnacentral:lncRNA from 1 species
GGCAACCCGCUCCGGUGUCCUUCCAUGCUGUGGAGGCUCUGUUGUUUCGCUCUUUCUACUGCUUACUCUUCGGGUCCACACUGCUUUUAUGAGCUGUAACACUCACCCUGAAGGUUUGCAACUUGACUCCUGAAGCCAGCAAGACCACGAGCCCCAGGGAGGAACGAACAACUCCAGACGCGCUGCCUUAAGAGCUGUAACACUCACCGAGAAGGUCUGCAGCUUCACUCCUGAGCCAGCGAGGCCACGAACCCACCAGAAGGAAGAAACUCUGAACACAUCCGAACAUCAGAAGGAACAAACUCCAGACGUGCCACCUUAAGAGCUGUUAACACUCACCGCGAGGGUCCGCGGCUUCAUUUUUGAAGUCAGUGAGACCAAGAACCAACCAAUUCGGGACACAAUACCAACUCUUUCAUGCCAGGAGAAGCCUCCUUAAAAAAUUUCGGUGAUUAACAGCAGCACAUGGGUCAAAAUCUCCUGAAAGUUGAGCAGGGGAGCUGUAGAAGAAUUCCUCCUUUUCUCGCAGAUGAAAUCUUAUGAUAUAGCAGGGGUUACCUGGCCAAGAAGGUAAGUCUGUCAUCCAGCAGUGCUUGCAGAGGGACUAAAAUGAAUUAGGAUGUUCAGAGUUGUAUGUUAGGUGCUGCAGAAAGGAAGAAAAGAUCUCAUCCAUAAAGGGGUCUUUGACCCUGGGGAAUGGCAGUUGGCAAUUACGCUGCUUCUCAGUUCCAUCCUGUGUUGCCCCAGGUUUACUUCAUGGUCACCCAAACUUUCUUUGCCAUGUCUUUUGUAAGACUUCUACUUAUUACUAUGUAUCAUCAUCUUUUGGUAAAUAUAAAUUCUGGCUAGGAGAACUAGGACAGACAGGGGAGCUGUCUGCACACUGUGAUUAGGCAUGCAUCAAUUCAGAGCUCCAUGCUGCUAGCUCCUGUAUUCUGCUGAGCUCCCAGGGAGGAAAUAGGAAAAGGGAGGAGAACUCACCUGUCCAAUUACAACCUACUCUGCAGUACAAAGUACUGCAAAUUCCACACAGUGGAUCUCUGUGAUUGAAGGAGCACUUGUAAAAUCUGAGACAUCCUAGUUUUUGAUUUGGUAUCCAAAACAAAUCUGAACUUUUAAUUAAAUAUUGUUCUUUUUCCUUCUUGUUUCCAAAUGAAUAGUUACACCAGCAAACUUAUUGGCUGAAAAGUUGUUUCCUACAUUUGCACUUUGAAGUGCAUCAGACAGUGGUGUGUUUGGAUGUGGGUCUUGUUGAGUUUGGUUAGUGAGUUAUUAUUGGUUGGGAUUGCAGUGGUCCUGCCAAUGGAAGAGAAGUAGGUGUGCCGAGUACUGUCAUGUUCACCUCCGCCUUUCACAGAGGCAUAUUUAGCCCUCAGUUGGUAAGUGAACUUUUUGACAAAGGUUUAAGAGGUCGUAGAGUCUGUGUAAAAGACAAAAGUCCAAAAGUGAAGCAGAAGGAAUCCAGCUUCUUAUUUAUGUCUGGCAUGGGAAGCUUCUGGAUUUGAUAGUGGGUGCACCGAAAUUUGCAUCCCAAGUCAUAGCCUUUGCUCUGCCCUACCUUCUGGUAUGUUGUUUUUCAAGUUACUUAACCUCUCAGGGCUGCAACUUACUUAUUUGAAAAAUGAAUUCUAGAAUCACAGAGUUGGAUACAAUCUUAAGGGCCAAUUAGUCAAACUUUCUUUCCAGAGGUAUUCUGCAUGAUCUGAAAUGUGUCUCUGAACUAUAGCUUCCUGAAAUUUCAUUAUUCUUGUAGGAACACAGAGGAGAACAAAGAAAAUUCAAGGAACUAAAUUCCUUCUCCACCUCAACCACCAGCAUUGAUACUCCAUCACUUAUGUACUGCAUCAAGCCGUCCUCAGAGGUGAGGAAGGUGCUGUCAAGACUAGAAGCAUGUGUCCCUCUCUCCAUUGCAAGAUGGGACAUAGAGAGGAGAAAAGUGGCAGACAGAAGGUUGGUAGAAAGCAGGUGUCACCAUACUGCUGUACACACAAACUGUUAGGCCUAGAUUUUGCUUUCUCCUUCUUGCUUUAAGCCUCUAUCUAGUUUCCCAAAUCCUGCUGCUUUUGCGUCAAUGGUAGGAAAAUAUUAGCCAUGAUAACCCUUCAAACACCCUUAUAAGGCUGUGAAUUGAAUGUACCAAGGGAGGUAACUUUAUUGGAGUUGUCUCUGAUAAGGGACAACUCCAAUAAAAUUAAGUAAAAAUAUUAAGAUUAUUGUUGAUCUUGAGCCAAGAAAAUGCAGGGGAAACAAUGGAAAAAUACCUUUAAAUAAUGAAAACAAAAAUAAAAUAAGAGCUGGUCUACUCACUACUUCAUCCCAUCUCGUCUGUAAAAUAAUACCAUCAGAAAAGUGUUCAAAAUUCUCUGUAGUCAAGGACUUCUCCUGCUGGUUAGAAUGCAAAAUAAUAUGAAAGACUUUUGAUCCUCUAGUAAUAUACAAGUGUAUAUAUAUUUUUUGAGACAGGGUCUUGCUUUGUUGUCUAAACUGGAAUGCAGUGGUAUGAUAUUGUCUCACUGCAGUCUCUGCCUCCUAGGCUCAAGCAAUCCUCCUGCCUCAGCCUCCCAAGUAGCUGGCACUAUAGGCAUAUGCCACCAUGCCUGGCUAAUUUUUUUAUUUUUUUGUAAAAACAGAGUUUUGCCAUGUUGCCCAGGCUGGUCUUGAGUUCCUGGGCUCAUGUGAUCCACCUGCCUUGGUCUCCCAAAGUGCUGGGAUUACAAGCAUGAGCCAGCACACUCAGCCUACAUUUUUCAAUAUGCAUGAAAUUAUAUGGUUUGGAUGUGCUCAUUUUACUAUAUUAAAGUAUAUUUCAAUAAAAAGCCAGUAGGCAUGAAAACAUAAUAUUCUUUCAUUUUUGUCUUCAUCUGAAGUUUCAAGUUAAAAAGCAGGUUAUUCAGUAAAAGAAAAUUGCAAUGUUCUUCUCCAGUGCCAAUUAACCAAUCUCCUCAGACAGAAAUAUCUUCAGAUGGUGCUAAUGCAAAUCUCAAUUUAAAAUCAUUUUAGAAGACUGAGACCAUGCCCACAAAUGCUUCAGAAUGGGAGGUGCCAAGACUUUCAAUCACACAAAACCCUGGCACUUACUUUGUUGUGUUAUAAUCCAGUCUUUCUGCACCUAAGCUUCCUUCAUAAAAGACAAUCCAGCAUCAUGGUUAAAACACAGACUUUCUACCACUACUACUUACAUUCUUGGUGACAGUGGGCAAUUUAGCAGACUUCUCUGUGUUUUAGUUUCCUCAACUUUAAAAUGGGCACUGUUAUAGGUAUAAUUGUGUCCUACAAAAAGAUGUUGAAGUCCUAACCUCCAAUACAUGUGAAUAUGACCUUAUUUAGAAAUAGAGUCUUUACAGAUGAUCAAUUUAAGAUGCGGUCAUUAGGGCAGGUCCUAAUCCAAUAUGACUAGUGUCCUUAUAAUAAGGGAAAUUUGGACUCCAGAGAUAGAUAUAUACCAAUGAGAGACAAUGUGACACAGGGACCACACCUACAAAUCAAGGAACAUCUGAGGCUACCAGAAGUUAGGAGAGAGGUCCAGAACAGUGCCACAUAGCCCUCAGAAGGAAUCAACUCUACCAGCACCUUGAUUUUGGGCUUUUAGCCUCCAGAACUGUGAGGCAAUAAAUUUCCGUUCUUUAAGCCACCCAGUUGUUGGUACUUUAUUAUGGCAGCCCUAGGAAAUUAACAUAGGGAAUGAUAUGGUUUGGCUGUGUCCCCACCCAAAUCUCAUCUUGAAUUAUAGCUCCCAUAAUUCCCACAUGUUGUGCGAGGGACCCAGUAGGAGAAAAUUGAAUCAUGGGGGCAGUUUCCCCCAUACUGUUCUCGUGGUAGUGAAUAAGUCUCACAAGGUCUGAUGGUUUUAUAAGGGGAAACACCUUUGGCUUAGCUCUCUGAUUCUCUCUUGCUGCCUCCAUGUAAGAAAUGUCUUUCACCUUCCACCAUGAUUGUAAGGUCUCCCCAGCCACCUGGAACUGAGUCCAUUAAACAUAUUUUUCUUCCCAGUCUUAGGUAUGUCUUUAUCAGCAGCAUGAAAAUGGACUAAUACAGGGACCAAUGAUUGCAUCUACCUCAUGGACUUUUUAUGAGAAUUGACUGAUUUAAUAAAUGUAAAAGACUUAGAACACUGCCUCAUCUAUUGUAAACAGUCAAUAAAUAUUAGUAUCAAUUUUCAUUGAAUCCUAAUCAGUAUAACUAUAAUGUUACAUUCAUGAAUAAGACAAAGGCUGGGACAAAAUAAAUGAGACACUUCACUCAGACCUCUUCAUUGUUUUCCCAGUUGUCAUCCUUUGCACCUAGUUCUGUAAUUAAGAGAGUCUUCUCAGCUUUUUCUUAAAUCAUGUAUUUUCCUCUAGUAUGGCAACUUUAUAAUAUGUUUCCCCCACUUGAAAAUGUUUCCUCCUUUUUCCCACAGUCCAAUCCCCCCAUUAACCCAACCAUCUCUCACAUACAUACCAAUUUUAGGUCCCAAAUCUCUCAGAUCUCACCCUAUUCACAAACCAAAACUUUAUCAGAAAGAUCUAAAACACUUCCCCCAAAGGCAUUUUUAAUCACCAAUAAGGUGUUCUCACUUUCAAGGAUAGUAUAAUGUGAAUGGACAUCAAAGUCUUAAGAUCAAGAAUAUACUCUACUAUUAAAGAGUUCUAACCAUAAGCUAGUGGUUAAUACAGUUUUAGAGGGAAGAGGAUAAGGAAAGCAGACAUUGUCUUUCCUCUUUCCUAAACUUUUCCCAGGUCUAGAUCUACCUCCUAUCAAUUUUGCUACUUUGGUAAACAAACUCUUGGCAUAAAUUCUACCAAAGCACACUUUGGUCUUUAACUUUCAUAGUAGAAGGGAUAGAACAAGUAUCUCUCACCUAACAGAAAUCCACUUAAUGGAAUUUAAAAUCAAAGAAUGUGAUUGAUCCACCAAUUAUUUAAAUACCAACUUGAGUAUACUGAAUGUAAACUUCCAGUGCUGCCAUGUGGACUCUGCCAUCUUGUCCCUACUGCAUGCAGGUCCCUUAUCUAUCAAUGGCUUAGAAAUGACCAAACUCUUAACAAUCAGAACUUUGCAAAUCUUAAAUAAAAACUGUUUUACAAACACCCCAAGACACAUUACAAAUCAAGAAAACUGAAAAUCAUUUUAUAGAAUGCAUAACCCUCAUGGUCCCAGCAGAAAACAGGUGGCAUGCUAAAAUUGGGCAAUUUAAGGAGGAUUUAAUUAAAGAACUAUUUGUAAAGAUGUGGGCAAGAUAUAUGGGAAACAUGAAGGAUGAUGCAGAGCCAGGGGUUAGUAACUAUGAAGUGCUUCUACCACCUGUAGCCUGAGGGGCAAGGUAAGAGAAUGUUUAUCAGAAACCAGAUGGAGAGAAUUGUGUAGACAGGAUUCCCUUACCGACACUAUGAUCUUCAGCCAGGAUGCAACAAGCUCCUGGAAACUCCAAAGGUAAGAUAAACAUCCUGACCUCUGUCUCCUCCCUACUCACUAUGAAGUAUAUCCCGUAGGCUAAUCUCAACUGGAAACCAGAAGGCUAGAAAUCUUACUGAUGUGAUGUCCAGGGAUACAGAGCAUAUGAAGGAUGCAGAGAGUGGGUCAAAUGGAAGGAAUGUAGCAAAACAUGUAAACUUGAGUAAGUAUUUGAUCUCUUUGAGCCUAUGUUUUUCAAUAUUUGGAUUCCAACAGCCAGCUCAGUGCUGACAGAGUCAGCAAGUUCUUGUUGAGUGGGAUUGUGUCCAUAAAAUAAUGUAUAUAAAAUAGACAAGCUCUAUAGCUCCUUUCAAUUAUGACCUUCUCUGAUUACUAUUUUGUUGAUUGUCCUCAAAUAUUAUUAAAUAAUCAUGCCCUGACCAUAAUAAAGAAGACUUCAUCAUUGCUGAGGAUGAAUUUCACACCCCAGUCUUUAACUCUAUGCUCUGCUAUCUCUUCCAUCUAAAAAUACAAAAACUGAUUGUUCAGGUGUUACACAAUGAGAUGUCUAAAGAGAAGAAAGACUAAAAUAUUUAGGUAAGGACAUGGAUGCAGGAUAGUAGGGGAGAAAAAUCGCUUUGAUUGUAAACUUGGGCACAUUGAGGAUAUUUGAAGGUCAUAAAAGUUUAACCUGUAAUAUACCAUAAAAAGGAGAGAUGGGAAUAACUUCUGGAAAUAUUCCUUUAAUUUUUCAGUUCUUUAUUUCAGUAAAUUUUUUGUGUACUGCUCUUGGUACUCAAAAUGGUACUCACAGUAGAUGCUCACAACUGUUUAUUAAAUUGAAAAUUACUGCAAAUAUUUUAACAGAAACACAUGAUUUUGCAUUUACCUAUAUAAUUUGAAAAAAUUUGCUACUUAUUUUCCCUCAAGGUUUAACUUAGACAUUUUCAAUAUCUCUCUUAAUAAAAGAUUGUAUUUUUCUAGCAAUAAUGUCUUUUCUUAGCAAUUGUUACAAACAUAUGUACAAACUGUAUUGCAUAGUGUUGUUACAGAAAGUAAGCCAACAAGAGCCCUGUACUUCUUUCCAGAGAGUUAUUUCAAAACAGCUUUCUCCUCCUUAAGCUCCUUCAUUGGUAAAGAAACAUCACAAAAACGUUUUGAGUCAUUCAAUUCACUUUGUAAUCAGGUCUCCAGUGCCAUAAACUGUGAGUACUUGCUAAUUUGCCCCUGAAGAUUUAUUCAUGAGAUAUUUUUCCUGAAUUUACCCCAUUUGAUCUUGUCCUUUUUUUCCUCGACAAGCCAAAUACAUCUGUUCUGUUAAAGUGCCUGUACCUGUUAAGUGUUUGUAUUAUGGGGAAAAUCCUCCCUUAAGACUCCUUCAAUUAAUACAUCUAUGACUACUUUUCUGCUUUUUUGUUCCCCUUUCCUACUCUUCUUUCCAUUUAUUUAUUUUUAUUCUUUAAAUAAAUUUUUUCUCUGCAAGUCCUCAAGGCAGUACUCAAUAAUAUAAAGGGUAUAUAAUUAAUUGGUAGGACUGUCAGAAUUUAACAAAUUUCUUCCAAUAUUUUCUUCCAUAGAAUACUCUUCUCUUCCUCACUCUUUAAACUCUUACUCCCAGGAACUCCCUUCUGAUGGGAAAACGAUGUUCCAAGAAACCUAAAAUGACUUUCUCUGGCUCUCACUGCUAUUUCAGUUGCACAGCUGGGAUUAGAUCUCUGGAGCUCUGAUUUACAAUUAGGCAAUUUAACCUCAAUUCUAUCCCUUGUAGUAAACAGUAAAUAAGACCCAUAUUUCACUUGAAUAUUCUAAUCUGAAAAGAAUAACAUGCCUGAUAUUCUUUCCUUGAAACACUUGGUUUAUAAAAACAUGGAAAGGAUUUUCUAUUCUGAGUGAAUGUGUCAGCAGCUCUGAGAUGACAGCUGAUAAAUUGUCCUUUGAAAUCAUUAAAAAUGCUGUUAAAAAUGUAUAUUUGACAUCUUAAUAUGAAAAUGACAAAAUAAAAUGCUGUGUUCCUGCUUGUCUACCUAAGGCUCUGUACGGCACACUCUAAAUGAUGGUGACUAACACCUGCUGUCAGGCAUUGCCUUCAUAUGCUACAAAAAUAACUUCUCUAAAUAUUCUUAAGAAAGUCAGAAGUGUGUGUCAGCCAUCUGUCUGCCUUAAUUGGUUUUUCAUUAGAAUCCUACCAUUUCUUUGAGUUGUUAUUCCAAUUUUUUCCCUCCAUUUCCUUAAACUGACCUUUGGGUAGGUUGGGAGGGCCAGCCAUGGGAACACAUCUAGUGCACUGCUAGCAAUUGCAGCCAGGCCCAAAGUUAAUGCCCCUUUCAUGUGCACAUUCAGAGUCCCUGUGUGGUGCCUUGCACACUUUGUUUCUCCAGAGUUUUGCAAAAGAACUGGCAAGGGUCAGAUUCAACUAGCACCUCCUGGCUAAUCAAGCAUCAGACCCCCUGCUAGGUGUUUCCCAUGAGAUGCCAUCACACUCACCAAAAAUGGAAAGAGGAGGUUGAGCAGCAGCAAACUCUUGAGCCCUGUAUCCAAGGGAGUCGAAACGGCAAUCCAUAGGAAGUAUCACCUGGCUGUGCAAAUACAAGGUCUGUUUCUCAUUUCUCCUCCUGGCUUGCAAAAGUACUUUCAAACCUCUGCAUCCUUAGUGCAGAAAAGAUCAAAGAUACUCAGAUUCAGAAGAUCCCUGAUAAUCUGAAAAGUGAAAACAGACUUAAGAGAAAUAAUGAAGUUAGUAAUCAAGAACUUAAAACUAUCCACAUUUGAUAUAAGGUUCCUAAAGUAGAACCACAUCACGUGCAACAGGAACAGUGUGAAACAGUGCAAGGAUUCACAACAGCUAAAAAGUAGAUCCUCAGCCAUACUGCCAAAGGAUGUGUCAUCAUCAGUUUCCUACUGAAGAGGAAUAAGAAACUGAUAUCCCAACCCAUUGUGUUUCCUUUGUAGUUUGGUCUAUAUAAGCAAACAUAGUUCUCUUGAAAGGCUGAUAUUCCAGUGUUCUCAAUAAAUCCUUCAGUGGUCCUUGUUAAGUUCAUUAUAAAAGAUUCUCUUAGUAUUGUUACAAAGAGAUACUUGCUAUUGGAAGAACUAACCUGAAUAUCUUACCUGAGUAUUAGACAUAAAAUUCAGGUGACCAGUGUGGACCUAUCCAGGCCAACAGCCUCAAAACUGUCUAGAUGCUACACAUUUAUGCCACUGUACUGAAGGAAAUCAGGGAUAGAACCAGGCUACUUUUGUCUAAACAAUGUUUCUUCUCUAGUACCAAAGAGAGGAAAAAAACAGCACAUCUCUCAUUGCAUGGCUCUUCCCGGCCAAGACACUCUGGUAAGAUGGGAUAAUUAAAAAUGGAGAGAGGGAGAGAAAGGGAGAGGGAGGCUGAAGGGGUCUAAAAGUAAGCAGUCUGGUUUAUGAGCAAUUUUUAAAGAUAACGAGAGGGAUUCUUGAUGAAAAGAGAGAUGAGAGGCAUUUUAUGCUUUUAAGUGUUUGAACUUAAAGAAAAGAUAUUUAAGUAAUAAAUACAUUAUGGAGUAUAAUCCAAACCUAAGAGACUGCAAUGUUCUGGGACAAUUCACCCUCAUAAAUGAAUAUAUAUUGCAUUUUAAAGUGUCUUACCAAGGCCUACAGACUAAUAUAUUACAAGUUAAAUGUGCAAUUGUAUGAAUUUCAAAAUAGCCAUAAAUAGGAGAAAUGGAUUUUGACUUAAGUUUUAUGGCAGUGAGGGGGAUUGAUCUAGCCUAACACAUCAAUACCCUUUUCCUUUUGCAUUAUACAAAGAAUGGAUUACAUCCAUCUGCUGAAAAGCAAUGGCAGUAUCAAGAGUCAGACAGGACUGCAUUCCAAAACUCUACUACCUAUUAGCUGUAAGCAUUGAACAGGUAAUUUAUCAUUUGUAAAUAAAAAUAUCUACUUUCUAGGAAGAAUUAAAGCAGAUAAUAUAUGACAUGGCUCAUGACACCAUGCCCAAACAUGGUAGUUCAAUACAUGUUUUUCCUUUUCCUUUUAAUCUCAGAAAUUCUUAAAAGAGAGAGAGAGAGACUAAUCAAGGAGUGAGCAAUGCCUUAUGUUUCUAUAAACUCCAAUUCACCAAUUACUUACUGAGCUCUCAGGAGGUGCCAUGCUGUGGGACUCUAGCGACUAAAGAGUAAUGUUAAGUGUAACAAAUAGGACCCUCUUACUAGCUUGGGUUACAAAUAUGGUUGGCUUGAGCCCAUAUACCCACAUUGGCAGGAUGCCCAGUAACUCCCUCUGGAGAAUUCUCCUCAGUGCCAACCUAAAUUGCACAAAUAUCCUAGAGACUUACUGAUUUCAAAAGUGGUUAGCCCAGCUUCCAAGCCAAGAAAACCACUGAAAUGCCUGAUCAAAUCACUGAUAACUAUUGAUCAAUGGUCCUACACAACCCAAAGGAUGGGCAUCAUUUUUGGUAGUCAUGCCAAUGCUGCCAGACUUCGGCACAGCCCAUCACACCUACACCCCAAGGUUACAGUCCUCUCUCAUACAUGAACAGAAGCCAAUGUUUCUCAAAAUACAACACCAUGCCAAGGAGGAUUGGAUUCAUAAGCACUCUGUGUGCGCUGCAAAAAGUCCCUCUCUCAACCAUCAGAACCCUUGGGCUGUCUUCUGUUUCAGAGAUCAAAGGUUUAUAGCAAGGUCAACAAACAACCAAGUUGGUAGGCCAAUUCCGGCUCACCGUAUGCUUCUUUAUGACCAUGAGCUUAGAAUGAUUUUUACAUUUUUUAAUGAUUUUUUUAAAUAUCAAAAGAAAAAUAUUUUGUGACAAGUGAAAAUUAUAUGAAUUUCGGUGUCCAUAAAUAAUGCCAUAUUGGAAUACAGUAAUACUUAAAAAUUGUUUAUAGCAGCUUUGGUGCUACAAUGGCAAAGUUGGGUUUUGAGUUAUUGUGACAGAGAUCAUAUGGCCCACAAGUCUAAAAUAUUUACUACCUGGCUCUUUAAAGAAAACGUUUGCUGACCGACCUCUAGGUUAGAUACUUAGUCCCUUUCCUUUCUAAAGGCCCCUAGGCCCCUUAUUCAAACUAGCUCAUCACUCUCUCCUGAAAGUUCUGCAAACCUAGGGAAGAUAGAGAUUUUGAUAGGCAUGAACAUCACAGAAGUAGGAGUGUUACACUCUUUGCCCAAGACAGACAUACCAAUCCACCUCACAUUUGCAGAACAAAGAGAGUCAGUAGUAGGGACUAUAGAAGUGUUUCAAGGGUGCUUACAGUCUGCUUACCUAAAGAAGCAGACAGCAGCUUCCUUGAAAAAAAAAAUGUUUUAAGUGUUCCCUUGUAUUAGAUCCCUGCCACUUCUCAUAUCCAAACAUGAAAUAUGAAUUACAUGUAGACUAACGAUACUAGAAAGUGCCCUGAGCCCACCCAUAGAGAAAAGCUGGGCUAGCCAGCAGGAAGACCCUCAAAGAUCCUUUAGUUUAAUAUAAUCCUAAGUUAAAAAAGAAAAGAUUAAAAUAAAAAUAUGUUCAUCAUAAAGUUUAUCGCUAAGUCCCAUUGCUGAUGCUCAGUAAAUCUCAGUUGAAUUCGGGAGGUCUCACUCAUUAAUUCCUUCAGCAAAUGUAUUUGAGAAACUACUCAUGUCAGACACUUUACUAAAUCCUGAAACUAUAGCAGUUACUCAAACAGAUUAAGCAGCAGAAGAAAUCACUGCCCUCAGAGCUCAUGUUUAAGUUGAGGAGCACAAACAAUUUUAUAUAUAAUAUAUAAAUUAUAUAUAAUGUGUGUGUGCAUGUGUGUGUGUAUAUAUAUGUGUGUGUGUGUGUAUAUAUAUGUAUAUAUAAAAAAUAUAAAAUAUGUUAAAUGGUGACCAGUGCUAAGAAGAACAAUAAAGGAAGAAAGGGGAAGAGGAGUGAGAAGAGUGGGUGCAACUUUAGAGCGAGAAGCCCAUAUCUGAAUAAGGGCAUGAAGGGGGCAGGGAUGAAUGGAGAGGAUACCUCAAGGAGAAGCAUUCCAGGCAGAGGAAAGAGCAAGGAUAGAGACCGGGGCAGAAGCUCACCUGGUGGGAAUCUUCUAGUGGAAAUGUGUGUUCCUAUUCUAUAAACAGCAGAGGCCAAUGCAGCUACAGCAGAGCCAGGGAGGCAUAGAAUCAGUAUAUGAUCUUAGAGAGUUGGGAUGGAGGAAGUAGGAGAGAGAACAGUUCAGUCCCUGUGAACCACUGGAGGAUUUUAGAAAAAAAGAGUAGGGACAUUAUGUGAAUUACAUUUAACAGGAUCUUUCUGGCUGCAGCCGACUGUGAGAGGACCAAGGGUGAAAGCAAAAAGAUCAACUGGGAGACUCCUGAAAUAAUCUUGACAAUGCCUGAGGGUGGCUUAGACCAAAGUAGAAGCAGUGAAGAUAACUGAAAGUUGUUGAAUUGUGGACAGAUUUCAAAGUUCUCUUGAUGACUAUUACGAAGGUAUAUGAAGAGGCAGGUGCCUUGGGAAGCUAGUGAAGCCAAAAUCCCAGAGCUUCUCGCUUGCGUAGACUCCUGUGAGGGCUGGGAAUUUCUGUCAUGGAAUGUUCCAGAUGAGGAGGGGAAGCCCAGCUGCACUCAGGACACACUUCUAUGUAAGCAAUUCUAGUACAUUGUGCAGAAAUAUCUAGAAACAAGGCACCCAAAUCUCCCAGCUUCCAAUAAUUUAUCAGAAUUUUUCUUCUGAUGGUGAGUAUUUACUCUUGUCCCCAAUUUUGUAUUUGUAGUUUUUAAAUUCAUUUUUCUAAAAGGGGCCUGUGUUAUAUACAGUUUUUAUGUGGCAGUUGAUCUUGCCGUCUCACUAAAGUUGGAAAGUCCUUUGGGACUGAGAUUGUGUUUUAUACUUUCUCUGUUUCCCAUGCCUGGGAUACAACUGAGCUCAUGGAGGAAGCCAAGCUAAUGUUCUGGCCUUCAGUUCCCUGCAUGGAUCAAAACUGGUUUGGGAGGUUGUAAAGCUUUUUGGGAAAUUACUUGUCCCUUGUGGUACUUGAGGAUUUAGAGUGCCAUACCAAACAUACUGCUUUAAAACUAAAAGAAGGUUUUUUUCUUUCUUAAUUGUCAGUAUUUGCAUUAUAAUAUUUAUUUUGAAAGAUUAUGUACUUUUAUUUCAAUUAAGGAUUAAAAGUGUGGUUCUUCUGAUUCCACAGGCAUUUAUUUUGAGUAAAUAUCUAUCUACAAGGUAAAUUAUAGAAAAAUAUCCAGGGGCUGGGCACAGUGGCUCCUGCCUAUAAUCCCAGCACUUUGGGAGGCCUAGGUAGGCAGAUCACUUGAAGUCAGGAGUUCACGCCCAGCCUGGCCAGCAUGGAGAAAACCUGUCUCUAUCAAAAAUUCAAAAAUUAGCCAGGCAUGGUGGGGGGGCGCCUGUAAUCCCAGCUACUAGAGACGCUGAGGCACGAGAAUCACCUGAACCCUGGAGUGAGCUGAGAUCACACCACUGCACUCCAGCCUGGGUGACAGAGUGAAACUGUGUCUCAAAAAAAAAAAAAAAAGGAAAAAUAUCCAGGAAGAUUCAUUUGUUAAGAAGUGAGAAAAAAUCAGGAAUUUUUAAUGAAGAUCUAAUUUGCACUUAGUUCUUUAUAAUGGAGACUUAUUGGCUUACAUCUCUUAUUUUAUAUAAUUUUACUUACCAGUAAUAAAAUACUGUAAAGCAUUGUUUUGAUUCCAAAGGAGUAUGAAGCUGUUUAGAAUCAAAUUUGGAAGAAAAAGGUACCGAGUCUGUCUCUGACGAUUCAUGAGAGGUUCAGUCUAUGCUAUUAAGAUGCAGUUCUGGAGCAGGUGUGAUGGCUCAUGCCUGUAAUCCCAGCACUUUGGGAAGGUGAGGCAGGAGAAUUGCUUAAGCCCAGGAGAUUGAGACUAGCUUGGAUAACAUGGCAAAACUCCAUCUCUACAAAAAAUACAAAAAUUAACCAGGCCUGGUGGCACACACCUGUAGUCCCACCUACUUGGGAGGUUGAGGUGGGAGGAUCACCUGAACACCUAGGGAGGUCAAGGCUACAGUGAGCUGUGAUCACAGCACUGCACUCCAGCUUGGGCAAUGUAGUGAGACCCUGUCUCAUAAAAAAAAAAAGAUCCUGUUAUGUAGAAGCAUUAGUAACUCAGUGUCAAUUAGAAGUUUAGAAGUUCAUGAGACUUAGACCUUGUGUAUACAAUCCACAAAGUCAAAGUCUCUGUAAACAUCAAUAAAUGCUGCAGACAAUCUUGUGUCAAUCAGUCCUGCUAGAUUUCUCCUGCUAGAUUUCUCUACCAGGAGAAACCUAGCAGAGAAAUCACAAGGAGAUAAGUGCCAUAGAAAUGAUCAGUAGUGAAAGAAUAGUGACUAAAAUUCUCUAUACUUCUCAUGCAGACUACCAAUACAAAAAGCACAUACUUGCAAUUUCUCAAGGAGGACGGUGGCAUAGAUUGUUGACUAAAAGCUAGAAAUUAAUAGAUCAAUAAUAUGGAAACUUGGAGAUAGAUUCCAUCCAGAUGGAGCCAUACACAACAAGAAACUGAUGAGAGAAAAAAAAUUGUAAGAAUUAGAAAACUCCAGUCAGAGAUAUGGUGGUAUGAAAUCUUCCCUGAUUGUUUUACUGGGGCUCAGUGUUUCCAUCAGCUGUUCCACAUGACAGCACAUUACUAAGAGAUAAUUUGAGAGGGCCUGGAUCAAAGAAGCUUGCGGCGAUUGCUGUUGGCAGUCUCUAUUGGCAUUUUGAAAUGACAGCCUCUCUGGUAACUGUCAAAAUCUGGGUUCAUGUCUACAUUGUUAUGUUUAAGCCAAAGGCAUUCUUAACCCAAACUUGGCCCUUGUCACCAUCUCUAUUACCAAGGCCUCCCACAAGUUUUAUUUUACUGAAGGGUUUGGAAAGGCAUUCACAAACUUAUAAAAACAUUAGUGUUUCAUAAGCUACCUGGUGGCUUCCAUAAUAUUUCCAUCUGCCAUCUACCUCUGUAACCUGGCCAAGGAAUUUUCACCUAAUUGCCUUUUCAAACAAGGAAUUCUAAAAAGCAAUGAUUGUAACUGUUUAAUAUACAACUGACAAAAAAGUAGCUUUCAUUUUUUGUCAUUCCACUGAUAUGAAAUGAGAAGUGCAUGUAUGUGUAUGUGUGUGUACGCAAGCAUACACACAUGUAUAUUUCUCAGGAACAAAGUCACUAAUGAAAUUUGACUACCUCCAUUCCACCCUGCUGUUUUCAAUUACACAAACUCAUUAGCUAAAUUAUAAGGACAAGAUAGCUCUAGAAUUGCUACAACAAUGAUUAAAGUGAAGGUGAAAGAUUAUUUUUUACCCAGCUCAAAAUAUUCACCUUGAAAUUGCUAGUGGGUAAGAGAAGCUAACUAUCAUACUAUACUCUUUUUUUUUUUGAGACAUUGUUUCACUCUGUCGCCCAGGCUAAUGUGCAGUGGUGCAAUCUCCGCUCACUGCAAGCCCCGCCUCCCGGGUUCACACCAUUCUCCUGCCUCAGUCUCCCUAGUAGCUGGGACUACAGGCGCCUGCCACCACGCCCAGCUAAUUUUUUGUGUAGAGAUGGGGUUUCACCGAGUUAGCCAUGAUGGUCUCGAUCUCCUGACCUCGUGAUCCACCCGCCUCGGCCUCCCAAAGUGCUGGGAUUACAGACAUGAGCCACCACGCCGGGCCAUAACACACUGUACUGUCUUAAAGGUUGCCCUGAAUAAAAACCAUAAUUUGAGGAGUCCACAUAACUAACUGGGGAAAGUGGUAUAUUUGGGAUGAGAAGCUUCCUCAAAUUUUGCUAUGUAGUGAUAAGAAUUUGGCUCUUUCUGGCCACCUUCUGUGUCAUCCUGUCAUUCGCCACCAUAAGUAAUUGGCUACUUUCCUCCACUGUCUCUCGUUAUUUUCCUCCUCCCACCUCUUUCCUUUUCCUAACUCAGUUCCCUUGCUUUGAUUUUCCUUUCCCCUCUGCCUUGUCCAUACCAUAGCAUUAACAUAAUCACCUAGGAUUCACACUGGGUUCUAGUGUUCAAGGUUCUGAAACGGCUGGGUCAGCCAUUUCUGAUCCUUUUCUAUCCCCAGACACAUAAGGGAUGUAGCAGGCAGUGCCAUCAAAAUCCAUGGCUCUCUACAGCACUAAUUUUAAGAGGUGGAGAAAGGCGUAUCAGAUUCUCCAACGAAAAAGAAACUUUAUAGGUUGAAAACUUUUAAAUGCUUCCAAUGAAGAUCUGAUCAGCAUGUUUCCCUACAUUCCUUCUAUGUCGUGUUGGCAUCACUGGAAAGAGCCUCGCCUAAUGUGGUGGCUUACGGACCAGCAUCACCAACGUCACUUGGGAACUUGUUAGAAAUGCAGAAUCUCAGGCCUCCACCCCAGACCUACUGAAUCAGAAUCUGUGUUUUAACUAGAUGUUCACAUUAAAGUUUGAGAAUCACUGUGCUCUCAUGGUAGGAAUAUAGUAAAACCCAACAUAUCUAAUGGUGUAAAUGGCAUUCAACUACUGAUAACAACAUAUGUAAUAGAAUAUUAUGAUCUUUAGAGUAAAGCAAGCUGCUUUUUAUUUCUAGCAUUUAAUAACUGAAUCUUCAACAAAUCAUUUAACCUUCCAGAACUUUGGUUAACUCAUGUAUAAAAUGGAGAUUAUAUCUAUCUUACAGAGACCAUGCACAUACAAUUUUUAGGAGAAUGCCAGGCUUAGAGUGUGCGUGCAAUAUUUUUUUACUACUUAUGGUUAAAACUAUUAUUAUUGUCAUCAUUAUUUAACCAACUUGGCUUUAUGUGCUAAAAAAAAAAAAAUAUAUUUAGAUCAAGUUACACAAGCAUGCUUCUCAUCUUCCCAAAGCUUACAACAUAAAAUGAGCAAUAACUAUAUGGGCAAUUGCACAAAAAAAGCAAUAUGCUGACAAGAUAACAUAUCCAUUCAAAUCUGUUUAUGCUGAAAUUUUAGUGAGCGUGAGCUUGGGUUUAUUAGUCUGACCCACUGAUUAAAUAGCAUUAUUUGAGUCAUAAACUACAAAAUCAGAAAACCGCUAAGAGAUGAUGAGAUUAAAACAUUCACCAAACAAGAAAUAUGUCAAGGAAGAGUCAAAAACUUUGGUACCAGAGAGGCUUUAUGCUGCUAGAUACACUUUUUUUAAAUCAAAAUACCAACUUAAUUGUUAAUGGAAUUUUUAAUUAUCUAUUACAAUCCGAACUGGCUAAAACACAUAGUUCCUUAUAAGCUCAAACCAAACAUUUAAUUAAACCUACCAAGCAUAAGUGGCAUAUUUUUUAUCCUGUCCCGUAAGCAGAAGUGUCAGAAAAGGCCUUUUACUCUUUGUUAAUUGAAAAAUAAAUAGGUUUCCAGGAGAACAGAGUCAUCUCUUUAGAACAAUUCAUCCACCAUGCAAUUGUACAAUUUAUAUCUAUUCUAGGUACCAACCCUUGCCAUUGCUUAGUCUGAUAAUUAGGAGUAGAAACUAGAAAUAAAUAAAAGCAUUAUUUUUAAAAGUAUUUCAAAGUCUUGUUUUUAGUACUUUGCAUUCAACCCCAAUCCCCAACAUAACUUCAUUAUGUUUAAAAAUAUAAUUUUAAGAAAAGAUUAUUUAUGUUGUUUUCAGAUAGUCCUUUUGAACCGUCUUACCAGUAAUUAAGAGAUAACUAUGAGGCCUUGCACACUGGCUCACACCUGUAAUCCCAGCACUUUGGGAGGCCAACGCAGGAAGAUCACUUGAGGUCAGGAGUUUAAGACCAGCCUGGCCAACAUGGCAAAACCCCAUCUCUACCAAAAAUACAAAAAUUGAGCAGGUGUGGUGGCGCAUGCAUGUAGUCCCAGCUACUGGUGAAGUUGAGGUGGGAGAGUCACUUGAACCCAGAAGGCAGAGGUUCCAGUGAGCUGAGAUCAUGCCGCAGCACACCAGCCUGGGUGAAAGAGUGAGACCCUGUCUCAAUUAAAAAAAAAGAAAAAAGAAAAAAGAAAGAAAGAAAGAGAGAGAGAGAGAUAACUGUGAGUCUUUUCCUAAAUUUCUUCAUCUGCCCCCUUUCUAAUUUGUUUGCAUUCAUUGAACUUAGAUGUCCAAAUAAUCAAAACCCAUUACUAACUGGCUUUUACUAAAAUCACUUCUUCACUUUCUCAAUAGUUAUAUUAAAAUGACCAACAUUCUUUAUCUGUUUAUUAAUGUUUAAAUAUUAACAAAUUUCAUUAAAUUAGCUCAACCAAAUAACGUUCUGGUACAUAAAAAUUAAUUUGAAAUAUAUAGUAAUAUGAUCCUUUUGUAGUUCAUGAGCAUAAUGAUUGGGUGUUCGCAUACAUGUGUGAGAUGUGCCACCCUCUGAACCUAGUUACAAUGUGGGGAUAUUACCUGUCUGACCUGAAAAAAAAGAAAUAUAUAUUAAUAAAGUAGUUAAUCGUUUGAGGUUUGAAAUAGACUUUCACAGAAAUUCAGUUGGAAAUUCACAGAUUGUAUGACAGAAACAAGAUCUGUAGUUUACAAUACAGAAAUCCCCUAACACAUUAUUUAUUUAGAACAGCACUGCCAGGUCACAAGUAGUGUCUAGAUAACCUGGAAAGCCAAGAAUUGGCUAGAAACCCAGUCAUGGAUAAAGCUCUGAAGUUGAAUUAAUUUAUAAAAUAGAAUGUGAUUCACUUUGAGUUAUCAAACAAACAUAAUUUAUGAGCUUCCUCUUUACCUUUGUUUUUGUUUUGUUUUUCUGGGGGUUUUUAAUCAGCUUUCAGUCUAGAGGUUGGGGGUAUAUUCUUAUCAGCUGACCAGAGACUAUAAAUAGAAUAGACAAUGGAAAGAGCCUCCAUUCAUCCAUCCAUUCAUUCAUUCAUUCAUUCUCCAGAAUUCUAGUAUAUACAAAUUUGUUUCUAAUGCCUAGAAAUUAGAAAAAAAGAAGGUCACUGCUCUGCUGGUCAAAAGGGCAAGUAAAAUAUAUUUUCUUUAAGAAGGGCAAAAAGAUAUUAACCACAGGUGAUAUAAUUAAAUUAUUUCAUUAUUUUAAAAUUGUGGUUUCCAGGCCCUACACCUACUUGUUUAGAAGCUAUGAUAUGCCAGUCACUGGCUGGUACUGAGCAGGACAGCAGGAUCCCUGCCUUCAUGGAUCUGAAAGUCUAGUGAAGCAGAAAGAGAAGUAAAUUGGUGAUUACAAGUGGUACUUAAAGUACAAAAUUCUAUGGCAUAAUAGGAAAGGGGGCCAACCCAGAAUGCAGGCAUUAGAACCUCUUUCCAGGUGAAAGAAGGGUAUCUAAGUUGAAAUCUGCAGGGUAUUGA